GAUGAACGCUAGCGGCAGGCCUAACACAUGCAAGUCGAGGGGUAGAACACUUCGGUGUUUGAGACCGGCGCACGGGUGCGUAACGCGUAUGCAAUCUACCUUGUACAGGGGAAUAGCCCAGAGAAAUUUGGAUUAAUGCCCCAUAGUAUAUAACCUUCGCAUGUUGGUUAUAUUAAAGUUCCAACGGUACAAGAUGAGCAUGCGUCCCAUUAGUUAGUUGGUAAGGUAACGGCUUACCAAGACGAUGAUGGGUAGGGGUCCUGAGAGGGAGAUCCCCCACACUGGCACUGAGACACGGACCAGACUCCUACGGGAGGCAGCAGUGAGGAAUAUUGGUCAAUGGGCGCAAGCCUGAACCAGCCAUGCCGCGUGCAGGAAGACGGUCCUAUGGAUUGUAAACUGCUUUUAUACAGGAAGAAACAACUCUACGUGUAGAGUCUUGACGGUACUGUAGGAAUAAGGAUCGGCUAACUCCGUGCCAGCCGCCGCGGUAA
rnacentral:rRNA from 1 species